GUGUUCUUCUCAGCAGCACAUAUACUAAUAUUGCAAUGAUACAGAGAAGAUUAGCA
ensembl:snRNA U6 U6 spliceosomal RNA